rnacentral:rRNA from 1 species
GACGAACGCUGGCGGCGUGUUUAACACAUGCAAGUCGAACGGAAAGGCCCUGCUUUUGUGGGGUGCUCGAGUGGCGAACGGGUGAGUAACACGUGAGUAACCUGCCCUUGACUUUGGGAUAACUUCAGGAAACUGGGGCUAAUACCGGAUAGGAGCUCCUGCUGCAUGGUGGGGGUUGGAAAGUUUCGGCGGUUGGGGAUGGACUCGCGGCUUAUCAGCUUGUUGGUGGGGUAGUGGCUUACCAAGGCUUUGACGGGUAGCCGGCCUGAGAGGGUGACCGGCCACAUUGGGACUGAGAUACGGCCCAGACUCCUACGGGAGGCAGCAGUGGGGAAUAUUGCACAAUGGGCGGAAGCCUGAUGCAGCAACGCCGCGUGCGGAAUGACGGCCUUCGGGUUGUAAACCGCUUUCGCCUGUGACGAAGCGUGAGUGACGGUAAUGGGUAAAGAAGCACCGGCUAACUACGUGCCAGCAGCCGCGGUGAUACGUAGGGUGCGAGCGUUGUCCGGAUUUAUUGGGCGUAAGGGGCUCGUAGGUGGUUGAUCGCGUCGGAAGUGUAAUCUUGGGGCUUAACCCUGAGCGUGCUUUCGAUACGGGUUGACUUGAGGAAGGUAGGGGAGAAUGGAAUUCCUGGUGGAGCGGUGGAAUGCGCAGAUAUCAGGAGGAACACCAGUGGCGAAGGCGGUUCUCUGGGCCUUUCCUGACGCUGAGGAGCGAAAGCGUGGGGAGCGAACAGGCUUAGAUACCCUGGUAGUCCACGCUGUAAACGGUGGGUACUAGGUGUGGGGUCCAUUCCACGGGUUCCGUGCCGUAGCUAACGCUUUAAGUACCCCGCCUGGGGAGUACGGCCGCAAGGCUAAAACUCAAAGGAAUUGACGGGGCCCCGCACAAGCGGCGGAGCAUGCGGAUUAAUUCGAUGCAACGCGUAGAACCUUACCUGGGUUUGACAUGGAUCGGGAGUGCUCAGAGAUGGGUGUGCCUCUUUUGGGGUCGGUUCACAGGUGGUGCAUGGCUGUCGUCAGCUCGUGUCGUGAGAUGUUGGGUUAAGUCCCGCAACGAGCGCAACCCUUGUUCACUGUUGCCAGCACGUUAUGGUGGGGACUCAGUGGAGACCGCCGGGGUCAACUCGGAGGAAGAUGGGGAUGACGUCAAGUCAUCAUGCCCCUUAUGUCCAGGGCUUCACGCAUGCUACAAUGGCUGGUACAGAGAGUGGCGAGCCUGUGAGGGUGAGCGAAUCUCGGAAAGCCGGUCUCAGUUCGGAUUGGGGUCUGCAACUCGACCUCAUGAAGUCGGAGUCGCUAGUAAUCGCAGAUCAGCAACGCUGCGGUGAAUAAAUGCCCGGGGCU